rnacentral:lncRNA from 1 species
UUGUUAUUUGAAGAAAUUCUCUGGGAAAGAGUUCUUUUCUAAAGCAAAUAUCACCUCACAGUUUAUCAUUCUGUUAUUCUAGGUUUCAUGGGCUGACUCAUUUUACUUAGAGCAAUCUAAUUACACUGACCUUUGUUGAGAGUUGGGAUUGAUGAGGUCCCAGAUCGAUCCCCAUCAAGUCCAGUUUCCUUUCACUGGUCUCUGGACAAGGACUGCCACAGCCCCGGCUGCCUGAUGCAAACGCACACCUUUGGUCUUCAGGGGCAAUGGUUUUACCAUCUUCAUAAAAAUACUUGGAGGACAGCUGCAUCCACAGACAUC